GGCGACUGUGUUGGUUUUGCCAUAUUGUCACUUUCACCUCACAUGCUGGGGGAUAUUUCAAGAAGCAGGAUUACUGAGUUAGCUUGACUACUGGUCUGAGCAAAGCCCGCAACAACUCUUUACUCCAGUCUUGGGAAGGUUCCGGGUUUUAAUGAGUGCGGUUAUCUAGCUAACUGAGAAUAAUCCUGCUUCGUGAAACAGGGCCCUGUUCGGCAAUAUUUGCAGUGUAUGCCUUUUCGAUCGUUAGGGUUAUCUACGAAACAGGAGGCUGCAGGACCGUAUUUUUAAAACGAACACUAAUCGAACGCUUCAAUACAAAAGAUCACUACGGAUACAAACAUAACAUUUUUGUUCUUCUGUGACGUCAGUGAACACCGCGGGAUUUUUGCCAGAACAUAUAUAACGUGGAGUGAUCUAGUGUUUGCCAUAAUGAGCAACGGUUUUGGCAUUGUCCAACCCAAUCGAUUCGUUGUAGCAAUAAACGAGACUUGGUCAGCAGGAAAUCACCUGAGGAGAUCAUCAUCCUCAAAACUGUGACCACUGGUUAUACAUCACUUACUGGGUCAAGGACACCAGCUUGCUUUCGUCAACCAGCAGCUCAAGGUAGUAGAUCAUCAUCCUCAAAACAUAGACCACUGGUUAUACAUCACUUACUCGGUCAAGGACGCCAGCUUGCUUUCGUCAACCAGCAGCUCAAGGUAGUAGAUCAUCAUCCUCAAAACAUAGACCACUGGUUAUACAUCACUUACUCGGUCAAGGACACCAGCUUGCUUUCGUCAACCAGCAGCUCAAGGUAGUAGAUCAUCAUCCUCAAAACGAUGAGCACUGGUUAUACAUCACUUACUGGGUCAAGGACACCAGCUUGCUUUCGUCAACCAGCAGCUCAAGGUAGUAGAUCAUCAUCCUCAAAACGAUGAGCACUGGUUAUACAUCACUUACUGGGUCAAGGACACCAGCUUGCUUUCGUCAACCAGCAACUCAAGGUAGUAGAUCAUCAUCCUCAAAACGAUGACCACUGGUUAUACAUCACGUACCAAGUCAAGGACAGCAGCUUGCUUUCAUCAGCCAUCAGCUCAAGGUAGUAGAUCAUCAUCCUCAAAACGAUGAGCACUGGUUAUACAUCACUUACUGGGUCAAGGACACCAGCUUGCUUUCGUCAACCAGAAGCUCAAGGUGGUAGAUCGUCAUCCUCAUAACGAUGACCACUGGUUAUACAUCACGUACCAAGUCAAGGACACCAGCUUGCUUUCAUCAGCCAUCAGCUCAAGGUAGUAGAUCAUCAUCCUCAAAACGAUGAGCACUGGUUAUACAUCACUUACUGGGUCAAGGACACCAGCUUGCUU